rnacentral:tRNA from 1 species
GAGGGUAUAGCUCCAUGGUAGAGUGCAUGCUCAGCAUGCGUGAGGUCAUGGGUUCGAUCCUCAGUACCUCCA